rnacentral:rRNA from 1 species
GGGCAGCUAGCCAGUGAUGGCAUGCGAAUCUCGAAAGCCUAUCUCAGUUCGGAUUGGAGGCUGAAACCCGCCUCCAUGAAGUUGGAUUCGCUAGUAAUCGCGCAUCAGCCAUGGCGCGGUGAAUACGUUCCCGGGCCUUGUACACACCGCCCGUCAAGCCAUGGGAGCCGGGGUGCCUGAAGUUCGUUACCGCAAGGAUCGACCUAGGGCAAAACUGGUGACUGGGGCUAAGUCGUAACAAGGUACC